UACAGAGGUCUCAAGCGUUGUUCGGAUUCAUUGGGCGUAAAGGGUGCGUAGGCGGCGCGGUAAGUCGGGUGUGAAAUCUCCGGGCUUAACUCGGAAAGGUCAACUGAUACUGUGCGACUAGAGUGCAGAAGGGGCAACUGGAAUUCUCGGUGUAGCGGUGAAAUGCGUAGAUAUCAGGAGGAACACCAGUGGCGAAGGCGGCUUCCUGGACACCAACUGACGCUGAGACGCGAAAGCGUGGGGAGCAAACAGA
rnacentral:rRNA from 1 species